AAGUCGUAACAAGGUUUCCGUAGGUGAACCUGCGGAAGGAUCAUUAACACGUGGUUAUCCAUGUAUCAACACAACGUGCUCGGUGCCCUGCUGGUUUAUUUUGAGAAUAAAUUCUUCGGUUCAAUAUUGGAGUUUCUUUUCGGGUUUUUUUUGGUAAAUGCACAAGGUGCAGUUACUCAAAAAAACAGAAAGAAAAAACAAUGUUGAGUCGUAAGGUUUUUUUAACCCCGUAGUAAAACAUUUAUUCUAACUGAACUUAAUUGCUCUUUCCAAGUAAAAUUGGAAAUCAAUUGAUUUACGAAACGCUUGACAACUCUUAACAACGGAUAUCUUGGUUCUC
rnacentral:misc_RNA from 1 species